rnacentral:rRNA from 1 species
GUGGGGAAUUUUGGACAAUGGGCGCAAGCCUGAUCCAGCAAUGCCGCGUGCAGGAAGAAGGCCUUCGGGUUGUAAACUGCUUUUGUACGGAACGAAACGGUCCUGGUUAAUACCUGGGGCUAAUGACGGUACCGUAAGAAUAAGCACCGGCUAACUACGUGCCAGCAGCCGCGGUAAUACGUAGGGUGCGAGCGUUAAUCGGAAUUACUGGGCGUAAAGCGUGCGCAGGCGGUGCUGUAAGACAGGCGUGAAAGCCCCGGGCUCAAACUGGGAAUUGCGCUUGUGACUGCAGUGCUGGAGUACGGCAGAGGGGGAUGGAAUUCCGCGUGUAGCAGUGAAAUGCGUAGAUAUGCGGAGGAACACCGAUGGCGAAGGCAGUCCCCUGGGCCUGUACUGACGCUCAUGCACGAAAGCGUGGGGAGCAAACAGGAUUAGAUACCCGUGUAGUCC